UUCGGGGCGCUGGCGAGUGGCGAACGGGUGAGUAACACGUGGAAACCUGUCAUGAGGUGGGGGACAACAGCUGGAAACGGCUGCUAAUACCGCAUAAGCCCUACGGGGGAAAGAUUUAUCGCCUUAUGAGGGGUCCGCGUCGGAUUAGCUGGUUGGUGGGGUAAAGGCCUACCAAGGCAACGAUCCGUAGCUGGUCUGAGAGGAUGAUCAGCCACACUGGGACUGAGACACGGCCCAGACUCCUACGGGAGGCAGCGGUGGGGAAUAUUGCGCAAUGGGGGCAACCCUGACGCAGCGAUGCCGCGUGGACGAAGAAGGCCUUCGGGUUGUAAAGUCCUUUCAGUGGGGAAGAUAGUGACGGUACCCACAGAAGAAGCUCCGGCUAACUCCGUGCCAGCAGCCGCGGUAAUACGGAGGGGGCGAGCGUUGUUCGGAAUUACUGGGCGUAAAGGGCGCGUAGGCGGUUAUGCAAG
rnacentral:rRNA from 1 species